AAGUACCGUCAAAUCACUACACGUAGCGACUAUUCUUCCGUCAGAAAAGCAGUUUACAACCCAUAGGGCCGUCUUCCUGCACGCGGGAUGGCUGGUUCAGGCUUGCGCCCAU
rnacentral:rRNA from 1 species